GGGUGACCUCAGAUCAGGUAGGGAUACCCGCUGAACUUAAGCAUAUCAAUAAGCGGAGGAAAAGAAACCAACAGGGAUUGCCCUAGUAACGGCGAGUGAAGCGGCAAAAGCUCAGAUUUGAAAUCUGUCGUCAUUCUGGCGGCCGAGUUGUAGUCUGUAGAGGUGUAUUCGAGUGUGGCUUUGGCUUAAGUUCCUUGGAACAGGGCGUCAUAGAGGGUGAGAACCCCGUUAACGGCCUUUGUCUUAUGCUCAUGUGAAUCUCCUUCAACGAGUCGAGUUGUUUGGGAAUGCAGCUCUAAAUGGGUGGUAAAUUCCAUCUAAAGCUA
rnacentral:rRNA from 1 species